rnacentral:lncRNA from 1 species
AUUUAAUGCCAGCUAAAAAUGAGGUUUCUGGGAAGAAAGGACAUGUAUGUACAUACACAUUUUAGAUGAACAGAUUGUCAUGGGUCUUUUUCAGGCACUUAACAGUACAUGUCUUUAUUUUCUCCAAGAGACUCAUGCUGGCCUACCACUCCAAAAAGGAGCACAUUGCUGAUUUUUAGUUGGGAUGGAGCAAUGGCAGAGAAGCCGAAGUGUAACAAGGAUUUCACAUGCGGAAAGAAAAGUGCUGCUCAGUCUGUGACAACCUUCUGGUGCAGGAGAAGCAGACAAGGCUUCUGAAAAGAAUCUGUCUCUUCUCAGAGCUCUUUGGCUCUGGGAUUUAUCAUGAGACCAAGCCCACAAAAGGACCAAAAGAAGACCAGAGCCAGAGCUGUGGAAGGCAUCAGAAAGAAUCCCAGAUUUUCAGCCCUCAGUCACUGCUGUUUACACUACAUAACCUCUGAAAAAAUCCUGCUUAGGCAUGGAAGAGGAGCUGCAUGGACUGAGUUCUCAGGCUGCAUCUUGCUGGCAUCUGCUACUGGACAAAUGAAAUAAAUGUC